GGUACUGGCAGGCCUAUGAGAAGUUCUCGUUGGGGGAGUUGAGAGAGCUUUUAUGAGGAUAGCUUCUAGUAGAGAGAGGAUGGUAUAUAGAGAGUUGAGAGUGGGUGUUCUCCUCUUGUAUUUGUUUCUUUCUCAUAGUGAAAUUUGCAUGCCCCAUGGAGGCAGCGCUUGGGCUAAUCCAUGUACCUGAUUAUGUCUGUAUUGUUUCUUCUUUCUUCCUGCUGCAAUGCAUGGUAUCGAAAAGGUCCUGUAGAGAUGAUAUCCUAGCCAAACAUCUCCAACAUCUAGGGCAUGCAGAAAGAAAGCAAGGGAUUUUUUUGAAAGAGGCUAGAGAGAAACCCUCUCUCUUCGUUGAACCCCCUAAUUCUCAUCAAGAGCAGCCCUCUUUGCCCUCACCAAAAGACACCCCCUCUUC
rnacentral:lncRNA from 1 species